rnacentral:rRNA from 1 species
GACAGAGGGUGCAGACGUUGUUCGGAAUUACUGGGCGUAAAGGGCGCGUAGGCGGCCCUCCUUGUCGCGUGUGAAAGCCCCGGGCUCAACCUGGGAACGGCGCGCGAGACGGGGGGGCUGGAGUUCGGGAGAGGAGCGUGGAAUUCCCAGUGUAGAGGUGAAAUUCGUAGAUAUUGGGAAGAGCACCGGUGGCGAAGGCGGCGCUCUGGACCGAGACUGACGCUGAGGCGCGAAAGCGUGGGGAGCAAACAGG